UACGGAGGGUGCGAGCGUUGUCCGGAAUCACUGGGCGUAAAGGGUGCGUAGGCGGGUCUUUAAGUCAGGGGUGAAAUCCUGGAGCUCAACUCCAGAACUGCCUUUGAUACUGAAGAUCUUGAGUUCGGGAGAGGUGAGUGGAACUGCGAGUGUAGAGGUGAAAUUCGUAGAUAUUCGCAAGAACACCAGUGGCGAAGGCGGCUCACUGGCCCGAUACUGACGCUGAGGCACGAAAGCGUGGGGAGCAAACAGGG
rnacentral:rRNA from 1 species